AACAACACUGCCCACAUAUAAACCUCCACGUCCACCACAAAACAAUCUAACGGCCUUGUCUUCUUGAAAAAGAAAAUGGAGCAUUGUCACACCUGGAUUACCUUUAUAAUUAAUUACUUUGUAUAAAAUAUAUCUGGCUUAAUUAGUUAUUAAUUAUUGUUGAUAAUCUACAUGAUGGAGCAAGCAUUUGGGUUCUCAUCACUGAACAUAUCAGUGUAGUGAUCGUCCACGGUGGUCUCAGUGAUGGUUGCGGUGACCGGAACGGCUCUGACAUGAUUAGGAGGAGCCUUCUUGUCAUAGGCCUGAGAAACGUAUGGAUUUGCCACUAAACUGUAGGGGACAUAAGGCCACGGCUCUACCUUCUUUUUGGUAGAUUGAGCUGCCUUCAACACUUUCUUUGGCUCUACAUAUCCAGUCACGGUCACCUUCUGCUGCUUCAAGUCUACAUCCACAGAUUUAACUCCUUUAACUCCGGAGAGGACGCUCUUGACCUUACGUUCACAGCCCUCACAGUCCAUCCUCACUUUGAGUGCUACAGUUUGUAUCUGCUUCUUUUUCUUGCGCUUUUUCACACUGCUUAGCAUGUCAGACAAGUACUCCAAAGCGCCUGCAACUCCCAUUUUUCUGUUUCUUUCUGCUUACAGUACUCCAGGAUGUUUAUGGAUAUGGAGUUUCGAUAUAUCAGCCAAUUAAGUUCUUGGAAGAAGUACUGAUUCACAAUAUAUGAACUAAACCUUUACGUUUAAAGAGGCAUAGGGGUAGAUCAUCAGCACUUCUUUAUCUUUCAGCAAGAGAAGAUCAAAGAAAUGCAAGAAAUAAGUGUAAAAAGUAGUUGAGUUAUAAAAGAAGAGGUACAAUUGGAUACUCUAGUCUUGGUAUCUUGCCUAGCUGGUUGCCAUUGAAGUAUAUGCAUGGAUUAAUUUAUAGCGACC
rnacentral:misc_RNA from 1 species